rnacentral:rRNA from 1 species
GUCCUACCGCCUGCGACGUCACGAGAAGUCCACUGAACCUUAUCAUUUAGAGGAAGGAGAAGUCGUAACAAGGUUUCCGUAGGUGAACCUGCGGAAGGAUCAUUGUCGAGAACCGACCGAGAGACCGCGAACCCGUAAACGGAUGACACCGUGUCGGGCGGACAGUUUGCUCUGCCCGCCCUGCUCGGGACCCCGCAUCCUGUCCGCGAUCGCCCCCGGGCGGCCCCGGACACGCUCUGCGGGGGACGGACGAAACCCCGGCGCCUCGGCGGCGGCCCCGCUCUCUAUCUAUACGACUCUCGGCAACGGAUAUCUCGGCUCUCGCAUCGAUGAAGAACGUAGCGAAAUGCGAUACUUGGUGUGAAUUGCAGAAUCCCGUGAACCAUCGAGUCUUUGAACGCAAGUUGCGCCCGAGGCCUUUCGGUCGAGGGCACGCCUGCCUGGGCGUCACGCCUUGUUUCGCUCCGUUCCCAUGCCCCCUCGGGGGCGGCCACGGAUGCGGAGACUGGCCCUCCGUGCCUCGCGUGCGGCGGGCUUAAGCGCGGGCCGUCGGCGCCGGGAUGGGCACGACGAGUGGUGGACGGAGCACCAGCAGGAUGUCGUGGCCCCCCGUCGCCUUAAGGGGCUCAAGAGACCCGGACCAGGCGAGCCGUGCUCCGUACGAGGAGGGCGUGCCGCCUCGCAACGCGACCCCAGGUCAGGCGGGGACACCCACAUAAGCAUAUCUAAGC